UCUUUCAGGUGGUGAAACACACUUGAAAAGUCAAUAGAGUACAAGCAUUUCAAGAUGGUGAUGAGCUCAAGGUGAAUGAUAGCAAAGGAACUCUGGAACUCUAUGGGAAAUGGCAAACUGAAUUGUUAUGUCUACCUCAUGAUGCUCAAGUUUGACCUUUCAACUGAAAAAAUGUGACCUUAUGGAGUUAUGAUUCAUAUCAACUAAGCUUCAUUCAAGAAAGCUUUAGCAUGAGGAGGAGGCUUCCCAAAGAGACAUCUUCAACACCUUGGAGCUUCAUUCAAGAAAGCUUUAGCAUCAUACGGAGAAGGAGACUCAUUUUCUAAGACACAUUAGAGGUGAUAUCGCCAUUGACGUGGUAUUGCCGACUGGACACUGUAGAAGGGAAGGGUAACCAAAAUGGAGUUCGAUUGACGUUCAUAGUGAAGAACAAGAUAUGGGCUGAGAGGUAUUAUGGGACGUAUAAUGAAAUUCUCAACUUUUUCUCCCUGAAAGAGUAGACAACAAAGUGUAGUUUAGCUCUUGACGAUAA